CAGUCGCCGCGGGAAUACGUAGGGUGCAAGCGUUAAUCGGAAUUACUGGGCGUAAAGCGUGCGCAGGCGGUGUUGUAAGACUGAUGUGAAAUCCCCGGGCUCAACCUGGGAACUGCAUUGGUGACUGCAACGCUGGAGUGCGGCAGAGGGGGAUGGAAUUCCGCGUGUAGCAGUGAAAUGCGUAGAUAUGCGGAGGAACACCGAUGGCGAAGGCAAUCCCCUGGGCCUGCACUGACGCUCAUACACGAAAGCGUGGGGAGCAAACAGGAUUAGAUACCCGGGUAGUCCCUGUCUCUUAUAC
rnacentral:rRNA from 1 species